GUGCUCACUUUGGCAGCAAAUAUACUAAAAUUAGAACGAUAUAGAGAAGAUUAGCAUGGCCCCUGCAUAAGGAUGACAUGCAAAUUCGUGAAGCAUUCCAUAUUUUU